AAUUGUGCCUACAGUAAUUUGGGAUUACUUCUUCUAAGAAAUUUGUGAAAUAGAUAUUAUAAUGUGCACUUUAACAAUAAGGAAGUGUAUGACUGCUAUUGUUUUAAUGUUUGUCCCCUCCAAAAUGCAUGGUGGGAUUUAAUUGCUACUGUAACAGCAUUAAGAGAUAGGAACUUUUAAAAGUGAUUAGGCCAUUGGGAUCCAUUCUUAUGGGUGAGUUUAAUAUCUUAAUAAAAUAUAUUUUUGAUAUGGACUCUCUAUGUUGACCCCCUGAUGUCUUUAAAUGGGAGAAUCCAGCAUUUCCCUUGUCUUCGGAGGAUACAACAUGCAAGGCACCAUCUUGGAAGCAGAGAAAUCAGGCCAUGGACCUGCUGAUCCCUUGACCUUGAACUUCCCAGACUCCAGUAUCGUGAGCCAAUAAAUUUCAGUUUCUUAUAAAUUGCACAAUUUCAGGUAUGCCAUUAUAGCAGCACAAAUAAAUUGGUACCAGAGAAGUGGAGUGUUGUUAUAACACAGCCUCAAAAUGGGAAAGUGGCUUUAGAACGGGAUAGUGGAAUAGAAGCUGAAACAGUUUUGAAGUUAAUGCUUGAAAAAGUCUUGUGAGGGUUCAGAAGAAAAGGAAUGCUAUAGGGAAAGUCUGAAACAUUUUAGAGAUUACUUAAGUGGUUGAAAACAGUGUUGAUAGGAAUACGGACAGUAAAGGCAAUUUUGCAGAGGUCUCAGAUGCGAAUGAGUAAAAGUCAUCCUUGUUGUAAAGUGGCAAACAACUUGACUGAAUUGUGUCGAUGACUUAGAGCUUUAUGGAAGGUAGAAUUUAAGAUUGAUAAACUAGGGUAUCUGUCAGAAGAAAUAUCUUAGCAACAAAGCAUUCAGGGUGCUGUGUGGCUUCUUUUAAUUGUGUAUAUUAAAAUGUAAGCAGAUAGAAAUGAUUUAAAGAAAACUUAUGAUUAAAAAGGAAGCAGAACAUAAAGAUCUGGAAAACUCUCAACCAGAUCAUGUAAAGAAUAAAUAAGUGUGCUCUGGAUGGAAUACCAAGAGUAUGGUCAACCAACUGUUUGAUAAAGAGAUUACUAUGGAUAGGAGGAAACCAGGUGCUAUGCAUUAAGACAAUGGGAAAAAGACCCCCCCAAUGCAUUUUGGACAUGUCUGAGGCUGUCCUUCCCAUCACAGGCUCUGAGCCCUACCGCCUUGAGGGCAGAAUUGUUUUGGAGAUGGGCCCAGGGUAUGCAUGGGACCUCAGUGUCGUGGUCCAGUGUAAUCUAGGGUCUUUGCUUCCCACAUUCUGGCACAGUGCUUCUCAGCCAUUAUAGCUGUGGAUAGAGUAGGCCCAGGGCAGGCUUGAGCCACCGCUCCAGAUGGUGCAAGUGGUGAGCCUUGGUGGCAUCCAGUUGGUGCUAAUUUUGCAGGCGCACACUAUGCGGGAGCUAGGGAGGUAUGGCUCCUCCUCAUAGAUUUCAAAGGGUGUCAGAAAGAACCUUGGGGCACAAACAGACUUUUUUCAGGGGAUGAAACACUGCAGAGAUUCCCCACUAGGAUAACACCUAAGGGAGCAAUGGGAUCAGGGCGACCUCAAGACUCCAGAACUGUAGAUGUACCAGCAUGCCAUGCCAGACUGGAGAAGAUGAAGGCACCUGACUCCAAACCAUGAGAGCUGCUUUUUGGGCUAAGCCCAGCCAAGUCAUAGGGGUUGGGUUUCCUGAGGACUUGGGGAGGUCCAGCUUACACCCCAGUGUGUCUGGAAGAUGGCAUAUAAAGUCAAAGAUUAUUCCCAAGCCUUAUGAUUUCAUGUGCUGGCCCUGUUGUGUUUUGGGCUUACUUGGUACCUGUCACUGCUUCCUUCUUGACUAUUUCUUUAUUUGGGAAUGGGGAUGUCUAUUUUAUUCUUAUCUCACCAUUGCCUUUUGGAAGUAUGUGACUUGUUUAAUUUCAUGGGCUCAUAACUGGAGUGAAUUUCCCUCAGGGUGAAUUAUGCUUUGAGUCUCAUUCAUAUCUAAUUUAGAUGAGACUCUGGACUUCGGACUUAUGAGUUGAUGCUAGAACAAUAUAAGACUUUAGAGGCUACUGGGGUGGAAUAAAUGUAUUUUGUAUUUGAGAAAGAUGUAAGUUUUGGGUGGUCAGGCCAGAUUGCUGUAGUUUGAAUGCCUCCUCCCAAGUUCAUGUUGAGAUUUAAUUGCCAUUGCAACAUAUUAAGAUGUGAGGCCUUUAAGAUGUGAUUAGACUACAAGCACUUCACCCUCAUGAGUGGAUUUAGUGCAUUAAUAAAAUGAAUUUUUGGGUUGAUUAUUCUCUCUUGACCCUCUGCCUUCCUGCCAUGUGAGAAUCCAGCAUUCCCCUGCCCUCCAGAGGAUGCCACAUGCAAGGCACCAUCUUGGAAUCAGAGAAACUGGGCCCUAACCUAGGGACACCUUGACCUUGGACUUUCCAGCCUCCAGAACUAUCAUGGAACCAUUUAUCAACACAGGAAGAGCUGAAGGAGAGAGAACUAUGUGGUUCUUUACUUCCUAAUCUUGCCGCCUCAAUAUCAGGCCCUGAUUUAAAACAACAACAACAGCAAAAAUAGAAAACAAAACCCAUGACAUAAAUGAAAUGUCUAAAUAGCGGCUGUCAAGUCAUACACCUUUCAAAAGGGAGUAUCAUGAAGUAUUCAUUGAUCAAUAUUUACAAAGCAGUUCAUAUUUUUUUAGAAUCAUGAAGAAAAAUGACUUUAAUAUUAAAAGAAGACAACUACCAGAAAAGGGUAUGUUUUUAUUAUAUUUAUUAACAUGAAGAACAUUACUUAGAGUAAAAUUCUUAGACAUAAAGAAUUAGACUGCCUGAGCAAAAGGGGGCCUAGACGUAAAAAUUAUCCUGUAUACUGUGACUAUUAUGAUGACUAUGAACCAGAAAAUCCUCUUAGACACCCAUUCCCCUCCCAUAUUUACAUUACUUUCCAAAUUUAAUCUUAAAAAUAACACUGAUUAGAAAGUGUGGAACCAUCAUGGGGCAAAAAUAAAAUGUAGAUGAAAUCUUUGUUUUAUAUUGCAAUGGAAAUGUUCAGGCAAUGAACAGACAUUUAUCAAAAUCAUCUGUUGAUUGCUCAGUCUGGCUUAAGAAUACUAAAGAGCUUUUCUUUUGCAUGCAAAUAAAUAUUUACACAGCUCAGUAUUUAUUAAAGAUGGUUUAUAUUUUAAUCGAUGUUGGUGCAGCAAUCGUGUUUGGGGGAUAUUCUGACAAAUGUCCUUUACUGUAAGUGAGUAUAAAUAAAGGUAUAGAUAUAAACAUAUAGAUAGAUAGAUACUUCCUUUUCCUCCUCCUCUUUUUCUAUCCUUCUCUCUUUUCCCCUCCACACUCUUAGUGAGAUGGGGUGCAAUUUGGGAUUCUGAGAAUUCUCUGAGGAGCAGAAGUCACCAAAAUCUUACUACCAAACCUCCUGGCAUAUCAGAUCAUCCCAGGAGGGAAAUUACCCAGGUCAAAGCAGAUUAGCUCGGCAUAAUAGACUCAGGUUUUGGUUUGUGACAUAAGAACACUGCAUGAUUUGAACGGACAACUUCCCUUAUAUAGCUCGAGGGAUUAUGACCACAAGUGACAGAAAUGCGGCAGAGAAAA